UAGCAGUGAGGGAAUAUUGGUCAAUAGCCUAACGGCUGAACCAGCGAUUUGAAGGAAUGAAUAUCAACAUUUUAUUAUUUUUGAAUAAAGUUCUGGCUAGAAUAAUGAUAAUGACAAUUUUCUAUCUAAAUGUCUUGACUAAGUCACGUGCCAGCAGUCGCGGUAAUACGUGAGAGACGAGCGUUAUUCAUCUUUAAUUGGUUUAAAGGGUACCUAGACGGUAAUUCUUGCCUUAGAAUGGGAACAGAAUUACUAGAGUUUUAUGUGAAAAGCUUAGAAUUGGUGGUGUAGAGAUAAUAUACAAAAAUACCAUUAGGACUGGUAAAGGCGAAGGCAAACUUU
rnacentral:rRNA from 1 species